AGAUGUGAGGGUGAUCUGGCUGCGCCAUCUGUCACCCCAUUGUUUGCCAGGGUUGAUUCGGCUGAUCUGGCUGGCUAGGCGGGUGUCCCCAUCCUCCCUCACCGCUCCAUGUGCGUCCCUCCUGAAGCUGCGUGCUCAGUCAGAGAGGACAAUCUUCCCCGCUAGAGGAGGACCGGUCUUUAGUCAAGGGUAUACGAGUAGCUGUGCUGCCCUGCGAGAACCUCCAAACAAGCUCAGAGAGAAAGGGAGGGAGACAAAGAGAUCUAUCCACGGGUUCACUCCCCGAAUGGU
rnacentral:snRNA from 1 species